GGAGAGAGCCGAGAGCUCGGCCUGAGCAGUGUCCCCGGAGCGCGAGGGCGAGCCCCGAGGAGGCAGCGUCUCCCUCAGGGACCCUGGACGUAGCUGGCGCGGGCGCCGAGCGCUUUCCCCCGGCCGAACCCGGUGGGUGGUGUGGCUGCACUUAAACCAAACGGCCUCCGCGGGCCGCGGCUUCCCGGGGCUCCCGAGGGCCUGUUACCUCCUCCAUCGCCCCAAGUGCAGAGGCUGCCGCGUCUUCAGCCCCAGAGCCCCGGAAAACAUCCCAACCCCAGAGAAGGGCGGAUUCGCGGAGAAGAGACGAUGCUUAAGACUACAAGGAUAGAGAUCUCCCUGGACCACAUGAUUUGAACUUGAAGCUUGAGUUAUUGACAUCAGGGGCAAACAUGCUGGACCCAACGAGUGAAAGGGACCUUUUUGACCAAGAAAACAUGGAGGAGAUCUCCCAACUCGCUUCCCUGGAGAUGUCGGGGGAUGUAGUCGCCAAUACAAACUCUUCAACCGUCGUCCUAGAAAAACCCAGCUACCCAGACUCCGUGUACGUUACGGCAGCGAACAUUUUUCAGGGUAUUCGGAUCCAAAGGUCGCCAGACAAAGUCAUAAUAAAUUACGGAAGUGAACCCCUGCAGCCCUCCUCCUCCCGCUCCGAGGAUGAAUCUUUCCAGCGCUUGUCCUAUGAGUUGGCUUUCAGUACCCUGAAGUGCAAGUCAGCUGAACAGUCUUAUCAUUGUGAUGCUGUAUGACUUCCAAGACAGAAAAUUCCAGCCCCGCAUCCUUUCCGAGAAUGAAGAGACCAUACCAGAAGUUCAAGAAGUCGAGAACCUUCUAAACGGGUAAAAAAAGAACAUGCCUGUGAAACCAACAUCAGCAUUUUGAUUUAUGAAAUAUUUAUGUAAUAUAGUUUAUAGAUACCUUUGUCUCAAAAAAUUAUGGAAAAAUAUAAGUGUUUUGAGUUCCUUUGCAAACAGUCAUGGAUAGUUUGAAUAUCUAACUUUAAAUCAAAUUAUUGUAAGAUGUUGAAUUGCAUGAUCCAAGGUAUGAACAUGUGGGGAAUCGCCGGGCGUGGUGGCGCACGCCUUUAAUCCCAGAACUCAGGAGGCAGAGGCAGGCGGAUUUCUGAGUUCGAGGCCAGCCUGGUCUACAAAGUGAGCUCCAGGACAGCCAGGGCUAUACAGAGAAACCCUGUCUCCAAAAAAACCAAAAAACCAAACAAAACAAAACAUGUGGGGAAUCAUUACAAAUGUCUUAUAGUUUUAGUAUAUGUAUAAGCUAAAUUUAAUUUGAAAUAGCUACUAUUGUCUUCUUAAUUGGCAGCCUUUUAAAAAAAUCUAACAUGUAACAAAUGAGAAAUUCUAACACUAUCCAAGAAUUCACUGUUUGCCUAAUUGAAAAAAAAAUCUGUUUAGUGAAGAACAAACUAAUGUGUUUUAGUUUCUUCUUUAUCCUAAAUAUCAACAGGAGACUGCCAUGUGGCUAAGCGCUUAUGUCAAAGGACGCUUAGGAAAGAUAACAGAUUACUAGUGAAGUUAGAAUUGGACAUAUAAUAAGUGGUUAGUGCAUGAUAAACAUUACUGUGUGUUAAUGGCACUGGGUGUGAUGUCUUGAAGGUGUCCCCAGAAUUCAGAUGUUGAAAAUUUAAUUCUCUUGUGGCAGUGUUGGGAUAUAGAGGCUAAUGAGGGGUGCUUUAAUCAUGAGGGAUUUGCACACGUGUGUGCACGCACGUGUAUAUGUGUGUGUUGUGUGUUGUGUGUGUGUGCAUGCAUGUGUGUAGACGGGUGCAAUACCUGUGACGGUUAGCGGUAAGUUUCCAAUGAUUCUGUUCCCUACUUAAGUCACAGGGUAUCUCACUGAUCCUGGAGCUGAUUUGGUGAAAGUGGUUGGGCCAGCCAUCCCCAGCAAUCCUCCUGCCUCUGCUUGCUGGGCAUUAGAAUUACAGGCAAGGGAUGCUGCAUCUGGCUUUUUUACGUGGCUGCUGGGUGUUUGAACUUAGGUCCUCAUGUCCGUACAAUAUGCAGUUUACCUACUCCGCCAUCUUCCUGUCCCCAUUCUUUCCCCCUUUGAAGUGGGUUCUCAUGUAGCCCCCGAUGAGCCUCGGAACUGCUUACACGGCUGAGAACAACUUUGAACUUUUGAUUCUCCUGCUACCAUCUCCCAAAUGCUGGGGUUACAGGCUUACACAGGCACCCCCAGAAAACGCAGUCAUUGAAGGGUUUGCUGGAGUGCAGUUGAGUAGAAACGUGCUUUUCUAACAUGUCCAAGGUCCCGAGUUCAAUCCUCAACACU
rnacentral:lncRNA from 1 species